CAUAAUCGUCGACAUGUAUAGAUUUCGAUGUUGGAUAAUUUAUUCUAGCUCGAAUUCAUGGAUUAUAUGGUAGAUUGCAAAUCUGAAUUUGGAGCAUGUGGUAAUAAAUUGAGUAGGUUAUACAUGUUGGAUUUGGAAUUUGAAUUAGGAAAAAACUUGCGAUUUGGACCUAUCACUUGUUUAAACUGCCUGAUUUAGCUCUAGGAGCCGUUAUAAAAUUGUACUGUCGCUGUAUCUUCGAGACGAGUACUCCAGAUAGUUUAGAAUACAUUUACGCUCGUGCUGGUACGCCGAGUGAAAUUUUACAGGGUCGUUGGGCUGUUUCGGACUUUUGGGCGCCGUUGGGGUUGACGGUGGGCCCGGUUCGCCGUUUUGGCGUCAAAUUGUGCCGAGGGCACGUUACUUGUUGGUUGUUAGACCAGUUAGAGUCGGUUACUUGGACUUUGGCUUGACAGAGCCUGAUUGAGCUCGACAGAGAUACGCUGCAUACUCGGUUGGGUAGCGCCCACUAGUGCCACUCCGGAGACGGACUUUGUGCUUUCGCGUUGGUGUCGCUCAUGCCGGUUGGACUUGCUCUCCACGGACCAGUUAGUGUGGAGGUAGCUGGAUAGUCGCAACUGGGCAGGAACCGGUGUAUUCACAGUCCCAGGGACGGGUAGGUUUACAGUCCCGAUUGGAUUGGGUCAGAUUUGACAUUUCCUAUAGUUGGUUAGUGUAGAGCAUGAUAGUGUAGUGAUUGAUAGCGGUAGAGUCUACUUCCUGCUUUUCUGACUAUUCUUGCUCCCUUCUGUAGACUUAGUGGGUGGACCGAUGUUGUUUUGGGCGGUACCCACUGAGGACUACUUAUUUUUACAGUAGUUCUCACGCCCAGUUGUUACCCCUGUUUUGCAGAGCCUCAGGUUUCCGCUGCUGCGCCUUCCGCGUAUCAGGAUCGAGGCAAGGGCGUUGCGAGUUAGAGCCCUACCCGCCGAGCAGAGCUAGAGGCACCCUACUGCAGGUAGUUGUUUUAUUACGAGCUUAUGUACAUAGUACUUAACUCGCCAGUGCGAGUAACUCUGUAUUUCGAUUUUUGAACUAUGUAUAUGAAGCUCAGUUUGUUUAGCUUUUGUUUACUCGAGCAGCUCUAUACUACUGAUUGUAGUAUUAUAUAUUUACAGGUACAGCUGUCGCUUCGUAUACAGGAGAAAUUUCUUUGUAAAAGGCGGAUUUGUCGGCGUGCCCGGAGAACGAGACAUCCGGAGCGUGACAGAUUAAGUUGGUAUUAGAGCUUAGCAUUAGGUCGUUGGGACCUAGAAAUCCUAAGUUUGGCAAACCUUAGGAAGGCAAGACGCGAGAGGCGUAAUUUAUUGCGAAAGUCAAUGAUUAGUUGUUCUAACUCCUCCUUGAGUGGGGUGAGUGAUUGAAGGAGUAUCUGUUUUGGCCUGAGAAAUUAUGUUGGCUGCAGACGACAUAAUUUUGGAGGAAAACAGACACUGCCUUCCAGACUUUCAUUGAUUGGGUCGAGAGUGUUGUGUUGUAUCUGACCCCGAUUUGUUCUUUUCAGCUCUGUAUAGUCGCCGAGGUCGACCGUCGUUGCAGGAGCGUGCCCAGUUGGCGCGGGAUCGUGCGGGACCUCCUGAGAGACCUGAGCAGAUGGAGCAGAGUACUCGGCAGGAGCAGGGUGACAGACCGGAGGCGAGUGCACCUCCUGUUGUGGAGCUGAGUGCACGACCUGAGGCUAGCGCACCCCCUGAUUUGAGUGCUCAGUUGGCUGCCCUGACAGAGGUGACGAGGCAGCAGGGGGAGAUGUUGCAGAGGUUGUGUGAGAGGGUGGCUCAGACAUCGAGUACAGUACCGAGAGCACCAGAGCAGGCCAUUCCGCCUCCGACUACUCCAAUGGCCGCACCAGCCGUAGCUGUACCCCCACCAGCAAAGUUUCCGGCCGCGCCAGUUGCGCCAGCUAGGGGACCGGUUUAGUUGACAGAGGCCGAGCAGGAGCGGUGGACAGAGAGGUUGGCCCGUUUCCGCCGUUUUGAUCACCGAUUUUCAAUGGCAGUUGCACUGAGGCCUGGAUUGUCGAGGGAUGGGUCAGUGCGAUGGAGAAGUUAUUUGAGGAUUUGUUUAUUCCAGAGGGGGAGCAGGUGUCUUUGGGAGUCCAUUGCUUGGCAGGUGAUGCCCACGUCUGGUGGAGGAGAGUGAGGAGAGAGCAGGGACUGGUGGCAUUGCAGCUGGGAUGGGAUGAGUUCUGUGGAAUGCUGUUUGGGAUGUUCUUUCCCAAUAGUGUGAAGCAGAAGCUCGAGGAGGAUUUGAGGAGGCUUCAGCAAGGGGAUCGUCCGGUGCAAAAGUACAUUCGGGAGUUUACUCGACUCCUGAACUGUGUGCCAUUUGUGGCUAGAGACGAGGCACACAGAGUGUACAUGUUCGAGCAGGGACUGAGACUCGACAUCUUCAGGUUGGCGCGGACGUAGAGGUCGAGGACCUUGGAUGCGUCAAUUGAGCAGGCCUUGUGGAUAGAGAGAUUUGAGGUGUCGCUUCAGGAGAGGACUCAGGCUGUGGGGCAGAGUCAGGACAGGAAGCGCCCCUUUUCAGAUGAGGCUGGACCAUCGAGCAGCAGGCGUCCGCCGAGGCCUCCACGAUCACGCUCUCAGGGUCGUGGGCCUUCUGGAAGUCAGCGUACCAGGGGAUCUCGUCAGCAGGGACAGACCCAGAGGACGCCACAGUGUGUGAUCUGCGGGGGACCAUACUGGCCCCGGCAGUACGAGCAGAGAGAGAGCAGGUGCUUCGGAUGUGGUCAGCCGGGACACAUGAGGGCAGCUUGUCCCCGAGCAGCAUCUCCAGCACCAUCAUCAGCUUCAGCACCAUCAGCACCACAGCAGUCUUACGGAGCAGUACCGAGUUAUCGCCAGGAGGACAGAUUGUCUGUGCCACGGUCGAGUGAGCGGCGACAGCAGGCUCCGAGUGGCAGGGUCCACGCAGCUCAGGUGGAGGACUCUAACGCGGCCGACCGAGUGGUGGCAGGUAUCACUUUGAUUUCUGGCAUUAGAGUUCGCACUUUUUUUGAUACCGGUGCAUCGCAUUCCUUUAUUAGCCGAGCAUUUGCACAGUUACACGGUCUAGAGUUGGAGUGUUGUCUCAGGCACGAGAGGUGCAGAUCCCAGACCAUGUUUUACGGGUUGUGGAGUGUUGUUGGUCAUGUCCGGUGCAUCUAGACUCGUGGAUUAUGCCCGCAGACCUGUUGGUGUUAGGGCAGCUGCAGGACUUCGACGUUGUGCUCGGUAUGGAUUGGCUGGCGCGGUACUAUGCUACGAUCGACUGUGGAGCGAGGACGGUGACGUUCCGCGAGCCAGCCCAGGAGGAGUUCACUUUCAGAGGUUGCAGGAGUACGUUGUUUGCCACCUAGAUAUCUUCGGCGAGGGCUCGACAGAUGUUGAGUAGCGGGUGUAUCGCUUUCUUAGCGAUAGUUGUAGAGGUACCUACGGCGGCGCCGGAACUCGAGGAUAUCCCUGUAGUCCGCGAGUUUCCGGAUGUUUUUCCCCAUGAGUUGACGUUGUUGCCGCCGGAGAGGGAGAUUGAGUUUGUGAUUGAUGUAGUUCCUGGAACUGGACCAAUCUCGAAGGUACCUUAUCGGAUGGCGCCGGCAGAGCUGAGGGAGCUAAAGGCGCAACUGCAGGAUUUGAUGGAUAGAGGGUUUAUGAGGCCCAGUGUGUCGCCUUGGGGAGCGCCGGUGUUGUUUGUGAAGAAGAAGGAUGGUUCACUUAGGCUGUGCGUGGAUUAUUGGAAGCUAAAUAAAGUGACCAUCAAGAAUAAGUAUCGCGCAUUGAUGAUUUGUUUGAUCAGCUGCAGGGAUCUUAUGUCUUCUCGAAGAUUGAUCUCCAGUAAGAUUACCACCAGCUGAGGGUGAGGGCCGAGGAUGUUCUCAAGACGGCUUUUCGGACUCGGUACGGGCAUUAUGAGUUCACGGUGAUGCCUUUUGGAUUGACGAAUGCCCCUGCCGCAUUCAUGGAUUUGAUGAACCGGGUGUUCAAGCCGUUCUUGGAUAGGUUUGUAGUAGUCUUCAUCGACGAUAUCCUGAUUUACUCCCGGAGUGAUGCUGAGCAUGAGGAGCACUUGAGGAUUGUGCUACAGCUUCUGCGAGAGAAGAAGCUGUAUGCCAAGUUAAAGAAGUGCGAAUUCUGGCUACGGGAGGUUGUUUUUUUGGGCCACGUGAUUUCAGCUGAGGGAGUAGUAGUGGACCCGAAAAAAAUUGAGGCAAUUCAAGAUUGGCCUACACCGACGACGGUGAUUGAGGUACGGAGCUUCUUGGGACUGGCAGGAUAUUACCGUCAGUUUGUGGAAGGCUUUGCGAAGCUUUCCACACCCCUCACACGCUUGACGCGGAAGGGGGUUCGUUUUGUCUGGAGCGACGACUGUCAGAGGAGUUUUGACGAGUUGAGACUGAGGUUGAUGUCGGCUCCUAUCCUUGCCCUUCCGGUGAUGGGGGAUGGAUUCGUGAUCUAUAGUGAUGCAUCGCACAGUGGACUUGGUUGCGUGCUGAUGUAGCAUGGUAGGGUGAUUGCUUAUGCUUCACGACAGUUAAAGGAUUAUGAGAAGAAUUACCCUACGCAUGACUUGGAGCUUGCUGCGGUGGUUUUUGUUUUGAAGCUCUGGCGGCAUUACUUGUACGGCGAGCACUGCGAGGUUUUCACUGAUCAUAAAAGUCUCAAGUAUCUGUUCACACAGAGGGAGCUGAACCUGAGGCAGUGCCGGUGGUUGGAAUUACUGAAGGACUACGACAUUAGUAUUCAGUAUCAUCCCGGCAGGGCGAAUGUAGUGGCAGAUGCGUUGAGCAGGAAAGCAGUGCAGAGCCUGAGUUUGACGAUCACUGAGCAGAGACCCUACUCGAGGAGCUGCAGCGGCUCGGACUCGAGAUAGUACCCCCUGGUUCUACGGCGAGGCUUACGUCUCUAGUUUUACAGCCCACUCUCUUGGAUAGGAUCCGAGAGAAACUGAGUGGAGAUCCGUAUUUGUUGAGGAUUAGAGAGCAGCUAGACAGGGGGCAGGCUGAGGGUUUUGCUUUGGACAGUUCGGGAGUACUACGGUACAGGGACCGACUAUGUGUGCCUGUGGAUUCUGAGAUCCGAGUAGACAUUCUGAGAGAGGCUCAUUUUUCUCCUUAUAUGGUUCACCCUGGGGGAACCAAGAUGUAUAAGGAUCUAAAGGCACGGUUCUGGUGGCAUGGAAUGAAGAGGGACAUUGGCAGAUAUGUGGCUCAGUGUUUGACUUGCCAACAGGUGAAGGCCGAGCAUCAGGUGCCUGCUGGCAAGCUUCAGAGUCUGCCAGUGCUCGAGUGGAAGUGGGAGUACAUCACGAUGGACUUCGUUGUUGGAUUGCCUAGAGCGCAGGGUGGCUACGACGCGAUUUGGGUGAUCGUGGACAGACUGACCAAGUCUGGUCACUUCCUACCGGUUCAGACUACCUGGUCCGGAGAGAGACUCGCGCAACUAUACUUGGAUGAGAUCGUUAGGCUGCAUGGCGUGCCAGUAUCGAUUGUAUUAGACAGAGACCCGAGGUUUGUAUCUUAGUUUUGGAGGAGCCUUUAGACCGCCUUGUGCACUCAGCUGCAUUUUAGCAUGGCGUUCCACCCACAGACAGAUGGUCAGUCAGAGCGGACUAUACAGACUCUAGAGGACAUGCUGAGGGCAUGCGUCCUGGAUUUUGAAGGAGGGUGGUAUCGACAUGUGCGACUGGUUGAGUUUACGUACAACAACAGCUAUCAAACGAGCAUUUAGAUGGCUCCGUUUGAGGCGUUGUAUGGACGCAGAUGUCGAUCCCCCCUGUUUUGGUGCGAUGUGGGUGAGUAGAGGACACUUGGACUGGAGAUUCUACUUGAGGCUGAGGAAAAGGUGAGAAUCGUUCGACGGCACCUUUUGGCAGCACAGAGCCGGCAGAGGAGCUACGCCGAUACCAGGAGACGAGACUUGGAGUUCCAGGUUGGAGAUCAUGUAUUCCUUAAAGUCUCGCCGUCCAAAGAGAUACGCCGAUUUGGAGUACGUGGAAAGCUUAGUCCAUGAUUUGUUGGCCCUUUCAAGGUAUUGGAGCGUAUCGGACCGGUUGCAUACAGGAUAGCUCUACCCCCACGACUUGCAGGCAUCCACGAUGUUUUCCACGUCUCAGCAUUGAGGAGAUACGUUUUCGAUCCCACUCACGUGAUCGACUUCACUCCACUGGAGAUUAGCGAGGAUCUGAAAUACGAGGAGCGACUGUUGCGGAUUCUUGCUCGGGAGACGAAAGAAUUGCGCAACCGGGUCAUCCCGUAUGUGGAAGUGUAGUGGAGCAAUCACGAGGAGUGGGAGGUGACUUGGGAGCCUGAGACGGUGAUGAGAGAGGCCUAUCCCUAUCUGUUUGAUACCUGAGUUGAGGUACGUUUUAGUUUCGCGGACGAAACUUUUUGUAGAGGGGGAGGAUGUGAGGUCCCUGGUGUACAAUUGUGGUGGCUUGUCGGCAGCUCUGGAAAGUUUCGGGACAAGUUCGAGUCGCGUUGGCGUCAAAUAGACGCAAAACGGACUCCGUGCGACGCGAGGACAGCUUAUAGCGAAGAAAUCUACAAAUCAGCAGAUUUCUCUGCUUGCUGUACCGGUACAAACAGCGUGGCUGUACCAGUACAACUAGUGAGGCUACGCACAAGUUGCUCUCGGGUUGGCUCUUGUACCGGUACAGGAGCCCGUGUAUCGGUACAAGAGGGUAGGUAGAGGGCUAAUUGGGUAAUUUUAUCCCUCGUUUGUAUCACCAACUCUCUUUCUCUCUAUAUAGCUUUGCGUAGAGAGAGAGAGGAGCCAUUUUGCUCCAUCUUCAUCUUUCUCUCACUCUCAUCCGGUUGAAGGCAAGGAAAGGCUCGGUUGGAGCUUUCGUCGCCGACGUCACGCCGCGGAGCCGUUCGAGGAUACGGUUGCCGCCGUUGCAUCGCGAGAAGGCCGGGCUAGUGCGGAUUUUCGCCGAUUGUGACAUCGCACCAGUGCUAGUCGCGGUCGAGGUUGGUUAUCUAGCACUUCCUUCGUUUUGGCUAGUUUUUACUUCUUCGAGCUCAAGGAUGCUGUUUUGCUGAAAUUCGCCGUCGACCGUUAGUAUUUCAGCUCGUACUCGACGUAGGAGCAUCGGAUUGCAACGAGAGUUGGUUCGUUGGAUUCGGGACUACGAGAGGAAUCCACGAAGCCCUUACUUGUGGAUUUUGGUGAAGGUUGGCUUGGUCGAAACCCUUCUCUUCUCUGCUAUUGUGUAUUUCGACUGAAUUAUGGAUUUUCGAUGUUGAUAGCUUGGAGAUAGCUUGAUUUCGAGACUCGGCCAUUUUCAGUCGAUCCAGCAGGUUGUGCCGCAGCCGAGGGAGUUCCGUGCUGCCAGGGAUUAGCUUUGAGGUGGGUUUACAUCGGUUUUACUCCUAAGCUCAUAAUCGCCGACAUGUAUAGAUUUCGAUUUUGGAUAAUCUAUUCUAGCUCGAAUUCAUGAAUUAUAUGGUAGAUUGCAAAUCUGAAUUUGGAGCAUGUGGCAAUAAAUUGAGUAGGUUAUACAUGUUGGACUUGGAAUUUGAAUUAGGAGAAAACCUGCGAUUUGGACUUGUCACUUGUUUAAACUGCCUGAUUUAGCUUUAGGAGCCGUUAUAAAAUUGUGAUGUCGUCGUAUCUUCGAGACGAGUACUCCAGGUAGUUUAGAAUACAUUUAUGCUCGUGCUGGUACGCCGAGUGAAUUUUUACAGGGUCGUUGAGCUGUUUCGGACUUUUGGGCGCCGUUGGGGUUGACGGUGGGCCCGGUUCGCCGUUUUGGCGUCAGAUUGUGCCGAGGGCACGUUACUUGUUGGUUGUUAGACCAGUUAGAGUCGGUUACUUGGACUUUGGCUUGACAGAGCCUGAUUAAGCUCGACAGAGAUACGCUGCAUACUCGGUUGGGUAGCGCCCACGAGUGCCACUCCGGAGACGGACUUUGUGCUUUCGCGUUGCUGUCGCUCAUGCCGGUUGGACUUGCUCUCCACGGACCAGUUAGUGUGGAGGUAGCUGUAUAGUCGCAACUGGGCAGGGACGGGUGUAUUCACAGUCUCAGGGACGGGUAGGUUUACAGUCCCGAUUGGAUUGGGUCAGAUUUGACAUUUCCUACAGUUGGUUAGUGUAGAGCAUGAUAGUGUAGUGAUUGAUAGCGGUAGAGUCUACUUCCUGCUUUUCUGACUAUUCUUGCUCCCUUCUGUAGACUUAGUGAGUGGACCGAUAUUGUUUUGAGCAUUACCCACUGAGGACUACUUAUUUUUACAGUAGUUCUCACGCCCAGUUGUUACCCCUGUUUUGCAGAGCCUCAGGUUUCGGCUGCUGCGCCUUCCGCGUAUCAGGAUCGAGGCAAGGGCGUCGCGAGUUAGAGCCCUACCCGCCGAGCAAAGCUAGAGGCACCCUACUGCAGGUAGUUGUUUUAUUACGAGCUUAUGUACAUAGUACUUAACUCGCCAGUGCGAGUAACUCUGUAUUUCGAUUUUUGAAC
rnacentral:lncRNA from 1 species